rnacentral:rRNA from 1 species
CCUACGGGAGGCAGCAGUGAGGAAUAUUGGUCAAUGGCCGGAAGGCUGAACCAGCCAUGCCGCGUGAAGGUCAGUGCCCUAUGGGCGUUAAACUUCUUUUGUGCGGGAGCAAUAAUGGUCACGUGUGGCCAGACGAGAGUACCGUACGAAUAAGCAUCGGCUAACUCCGUGCCAGCAGCCGCGGUAAUACGGGGGAUGCAAGCGUUAUCCGGAUUUAUUGGGUUUAAAGGGUGCGUAGGCUGGGAGGUAAGUCAGCGGUGAAAUGCCCCCGGUCAACGGGGUGAAGUGCCAUUGAUACUGGCUGGCUGGAAUGCGGAUGCCGUGGGAGGAAUGUGUGGUGUAGCGGUGAAAUGCAUAGAUAUCACACAGAACACCGAUUGCGAAGGCAUCUCACGAAUCCGCGAUUGACGCUGAUGCACGAAAGCGUGGGUAUCAAACAGGAUUAGAUACCCCAGUAGUC